UACAUGCACAGUCAUGUCACAGGUAGUCACACCCUCUCACUCACAUCCUCCCAGGCACACUCACAAUCAAGCCUUCACACGCACAACAGUCACACCCUCACAUGCAGUCACACCCAUAUGCACACUCAUGCACACUCACAUCCUCCCAUGCAGUCACUCGCACGGGCAGUCACACAUUCACUCUCACAUGCACACAGUCACACUCUCAUGCAGUCACACCUGCACAUGCACACAGUCACACCUGCACUGUCACACCCAUACGUGCACUCAGUCACACCCUCAUAUGCAGUCACACCCUCACAUGCACACUCAUGCACACUCACAUCCUCCCAUGCAGUCACUCGCACGUGCAGUCACACAUUCACUCUCACAUGCAGUCACACUCUCAUGCACUCAGUCACACCUUCACAUGCACACAGUCACACCUGCACUGUCACACCCACACAUGCACUCACAGUCACACCCUCAUAUGCAGUCACACCUCACAUGCACACUCAGUCACACCCUCACAUGCACACUCAUGCACUCAUAUCCUCCCAUGCAGUCACACCUGCACAUGCAGUCACACUGUCACACCCACACAUGCACACUCAGUCACAUCCUCUCAUGCACUCAUAUACACAAUCACACCCUCCCAUGCACAAAGGCACUCACAAUCACA
rnacentral:lncRNA from 1 species